rnacentral:rRNA from 1 species
UACGUAGGGCGCAAGCGUUAUCCGGAAUUAUUGGGCGUAAAGAGCUCGUAGGCGGUUUGUCGCGUCUGGCGUGAAAGUCCGGGGCUCAACUCCGGAUCUGCGGUGGGUACGGGCAGACUAGAGUGAUGUAGGGGAGACUGGAAUUCCUGGUGUAGCGGUGAAAUGCGCAGAUAUCAGGAGGAACACCGAUGGCGAAGGCAGGUCUCUGGGCAGUAACUGACGCUGAGGAGCGAAAGCCAGGGGAGCAAACAGG